CCUACGGGAGGCAGCAGUGAGGAAUAUUGGUCAAUGGGCGAGAGCCUGAACCAGCCAAGUCGCGUGAAGGAUGACGUCCCUACGGGUUGUAAACUUCUUUUGUCAGGGAGCAAUUGGGUCCACGCGUUGGCUUAGCGAGAGUACCUGAAGAAACAGCAUCGGCUAACUCCGUGCCAGCAGCCGCGGUAACACGGAGGAUGAGAGCGUGAUCCGGAUUUCUUGAGUUUAAAGGGUGCGUAGGCGGAAUAUCAAGUCAGCGGUAAACAUUCGGGGCUCAACCCCGUCGUGCCGUUGAAACUGAUGUUCUUGAGUGGGCGAGAAGUAUGCGGAAUGCGUGGUGUAGCGGUGAAAUGCAUAGAUAUCACGCAGAACUCCGAUUGCGAAGGCAGCAUACCGGCGCCCAACUGACGCUGAAGCACGAAAGCGUGGGUAUCGAACAGGAUUAGAUACCCCUGUAGUC
rnacentral:rRNA from 1 species